AAAACGGACAAUGUGAACAGAGCCUCACACCUUUACCAGCCUGGCUCCGGUCUGUAGCUCCGCCCCCUAAUGACGUCUUCACUAGGGGCGGAGCUAAACUGACCCGGCGGGGACAGGGAGCGAGGGAGGGACAGUGUGGAUCCUCUGGAGAAGGAAGACAGGCUUUUAACUGUCCAGGCAUGCUGGGAGUUGAAGUUUCGCAACAUCUGGAGGGCCACGGUAUGGGACCACUAGAGAGCAACUAGCGGCCAGCCUGCCAACUAGAAGAGUGACAUGGAGACGUGUACUGGAUAAAGCAUACGAUUAACAGGUUAGAGCCACUCGCAUAUGCAAUUGCAUAAAGGAACACCCAAAAAGCUACAGGAGAACAUAAUACAACUGGUAGAUCUGUAAUAUGGAUCCUGAAAACAUCACAUUGAUGUCCAUCAUGGUGCGUCGCUGCGGAUAACUGGACAGAAUGCUAAAGAAAACAGAUAGAAGUGAAAAGUUCUACACGGACAGAAAGGAAAUUAUACAAAACAGGGAGAUUGCAUGGAUACAAUGUGCCCAGGCAGGACAAGGCAGCAAUACAAUAUAAUACAAGGCAUCAAUGUAACGAGAAACAUCUAAAAUAAGUGUAAGAAAAAGCAGCAUUAGAUUUACAAGUGAGGACACAGAUACAAUCCAUGUGAGACCCGGAAAAAGUACACACCUCUACGGGGAUUUCUUCUGCAGCAGACAACUUGGCUUCCAGCUCUGGCAGCUUCUCUUUGUACAAAACAUCUAUAAUUUCUAAGGAGGAAAAGGAAAGAUCGGGUGAAACAACCUAAGAGAGCAUUUUCCCCUUAAAUAAAAAAAAUUUCAGGUGGAGGAGGGGCAUGGCCGGACAACCUCAGGAGCAGCUUACUGGAAUAUACUACAACUCAUCAGAACAUGCUUCUACUCUCGUACAGGUGGACAUGUGUCCUCUUACUCUGCAAAAGCAUGGUGACCUACCAUGACUCCAAGUCUCUGUCACAGUAGGGUUCCUUUUAAAGGAUGAAUCCCAUUGUUCAUCCGCAGCAUGACGAUAUCAUACCUAAAAAUAUAUAUUAAACUGUUUUAAAUAGAGGAAACCAUUGGAAGAAGUGAUACUUGACCCUACAAGACAAUAGGAAUACAGCGAUAAGAGGGUGAUCAGAUCGUGACACACAAUGCUCGCUAGAACAUGCCACAAGGUCCUUGUGGCUACUAAAUGGUGAAUAUCGGUAUUAGUUAUACAGAAAUAAUAGUAACCACCUACAGAAAUACAAUCAUAUACAAUCAGUAUGUUCAAAAAGACUUAUUUCCUGUGGGGCAAAGAAAAUCUGGUUCCUGUAAAGAGAACAAUAUACUGGAUUGUAGUGAGUAUAUGUAGAAAACCUAUCAGGCUGCAUUUGUGGGAGGGGCUUAGCAUAUUUAACCACCGCUGUCCCUUCCCUCGGGGCGUAUGGAAGAAGAUUGAAGAUCUGGUUAAUAUAGCAAAAAAUAAAUCGUUAAUCACGUUUAAGCGCAGUCAUACGAUAGGGGACAUCAUUAAAAAGGCUCAAAACGGAAGUAAAAUAAAAACGCAUGAGAACCUCUGCACUUGGUUAACUAGCCCCCUGCCCCCCGGUAAUAGAUGCAUGUGGACAA